GGAAUCUUCCACAAUGGACGCAAGUCUGAUGGAGCAACGCCGCGUGAGUGAAGAAGGCUUUCGGGUCGUAAAACUCUGUUAUUGAAGAAGAACGUGCGUGACAGUAACUGGUCAUGCAGUGACGGUAUUCAAUCAGAAAGUCACGGCUAACUACGUGCCAGCAGCCGCGGUAAUACGUAGGUGGCAAGCGUUGUCCGGAUUUAUUGGGCGUAAAGCGAGUGCAGGCGGUCUUUUAAGUCUGAUGUGAAAGCCUUCGGCUUAACCGAAGAAGGGCAUCGGAAACUGGGAGACUUGAGUG
rnacentral:rRNA from 1 species